rnacentral:rRNA from 1 species
CUACGGGGUGCAGCAGUGAGGAAUAUUGCACAAUGGGGGGAACCCUGAUGCAGCAACGCCGCGUGGAGGAUGACGCAUUUCGGUGUGUAAAUUCCUUUUAUAUGUCAAGAAAAUGACGGUAGCAUAUGAAUAAGCACCGGCUAACUCCGUGCCAGCAGCCGCGGUAUACGGAGGGUGCAAGCGUUACUCGGAAUCACUGGGCGUAAAGGACGCGUAGGCGGGUUGGAAAGUCAGGUGUGAAAUCCUACAGCUUAACUGUAGGACUGCACUUGAAACUUCUAAUCUAGAGUAUGGGAGGGGGAGAUGGAAUUAGUGGUGUAGGGGUAAAAUCCGUAGAUAUCACUAGGAAUACCUAAAGCGAAGGCGAUCUCCUGGAACAUUACUGACGCUAAGGCGUGAAAGCGUGGGGAGCAAACAGGAUUAGAUACCCUCGUAGUC